CAGAGAGUCCACCCACAUCUAAGCCGCUUCACAGUGGCAUCUGUAAUAAGAACAUUCCGACUAGAAAACAGAAUGACUCGAAGACCUUCUGGGGGAGGACGCCAACGCCUGUUCACACAACAGCAGGAACUUGCCGUUGUGGACCUAGUGAGGGCAGACAAUGCCAUCCGUCUCCACCAGCUACGAAA